rnacentral:rRNA from 1 species
UGCGUAGGCGGGUAGGUAAGUCAGGGGUGAAAUCCCGGGGCUCAACCCCGGAACUGCCCUUGAAACUGGGAAGCUAGAAUCUUGGAGAGGCGAGUGGAAUUCCGAGUGUAGAGGUGAAAUUCGUAGAUAUUCGGAAGAACACCAGUGGCGAAGGCGACUCGCUGGACAAGUAUUGACGCUGAGGUGCGAAAGCGUGGGGAGCAAACAGGAUUAGAUACCCGAGUA